CUAUGGAACAAAAGCUGCGCGCGCAGCAUCAUCAAUCCAAAAAAAAUGGCGGACGACGUCGACUCGCUGCGUGUUUUUCAGAUGUUUUAACGAAGAACACAGACAAUGACUUGAUAUUUACGUUCAUGUUGGUGGAAAUUACAAGAUACAGCAUACUUGCAAACAUUCACACAAUGACAGCUGUCUCGGCAACCAUCACCUUUUUAUUAGUUUUGAUUACAAGAUGAAAAUUAUGUUUUCGGAGAGGUGUAUGUGUAUGAAUGACAAGUCAAUUGUGCUUUAGACCAUAAAAUUUGUAGAUGGAACAUAGUGGACAACAUGCUAGCAGACAGACAGAAACAUUUUGGUUGACUGUUGAUUCAAGGUUAUACUGUGGUAUGUUGAGGUGACUUCUGCUCCAAAAUUACCAGUACAAAACACAGGAAGAAAUUAAGCAGUGGAAGCCUGAUAUUAAAAACAUAUUAUUUAUUAAUUAACAUUUGUGUAGAGUGUGUUAUGUAAAUGGAAAAUGUGUAUAUCUUACACAGUAUCUAGACAGUAAAACUUGAUCUCAAAUAGAAGAAAUUUCAAGAAUACUGUAUGGCUUACACCAAAAUUAUUGACAUAGAUAUAACUAAUGAGUUUUAGCUGAGUGAUUCAAACUUUAUUACCUGCAUCAUAUAGUCAAGUGCACUGUUUCUUUUUAGUUACGAACUUUAUUUGCUUGUGGUAAAUUACUGUUUGAUGCUAUGUUCACUAGUAAGUCAGUCUGUCAAAUAUUGUUCAGUCUAAAAUACUCAUUGAGAAGUGUUUCUAUACUUAUCAGAAAAAUCUUAGAAUAUAAGGAAAAACUUAAUAUUUAAGAAAUAUUUUUUAUCUUAGUUGCUUCGUGAAUACGGCCCCAGUUGUUAGUUUGUAUUUAUAAAUAUCAAGAGACAUGAUGCUAGGGUGUUUUUUGAUAACGCUCCCAUUUUCCAUUAAGAGCUUAAGUUUGCCUACGCGCUGCAGUGAUCUGAUUUGUGUGUUUGUUUGUUCGGGUUUUAUUAGGUUUAAGCAUAUUUUAUUGCAAUCGAAUAUGUUUUUUUGUAAAAUGAAAUGUAAACCAUGCAUUAUCAUAACAUGGAUAAAUGGAAGUUUGAAAAUCAUUCAAAGUUACUUAUUGAAAUCGGAAGCAAAAGGAUUGGGCUAUGAGUGUUUUCCAACAAUAGCUGACCCUCAAACAAGAGCAGGUUAAAGUAACAGAUGGAUCCAUAAUUUAGUAAAAACACAUAUUGCUACAUAGUGAAGAAUCAAACUCCUACGCAAUGAUUUCCUUUGCCGCUUCGCUCAUUGGUCACUGUCAACAAAAAAUAUCUAAAUUCAGCUUUGUGGACGACUUUUUAUUUAUAUAAUUAUUUAGUUAAUUUUUCCCAAUAUUCUCGAAGUUUACCCUUCAUCUAACAAAGGCGAAUGUUCCAUGAUAGAAGAAAUUCUGAAUGAAAAUGGGUAUUUAUUUACACGACCGGCUAGUAUCCUGAAACGAAACUAAAAGUAAACAAACGACUCUGUGACGCCGUUCACGAUUAUAAUGCUGCCCUUGUAUAUUUACCAACAUAAAUGUGUUUUGCUGUAAUAUAGGUCAUCUAAUAUAGAAGCUAAUACUUAAGUUUCAAUGCUGUUGCCGCUAUGUAUAAAGUAUGAUAAACAAUAAGAAGGAAUCCAGCUUUUGUUCUAUCAGAUCUAUUCUGUCUCUAUUCCCCUUUAAAGGAAGCCAAUCCAUUUUAAAAUAAUGAAAUUUCUUGAAUCUUAAUUCUUAAACUGUAAUAUAACAAAAUGAACUUAUAGAAUACUUAGUCCGAAAACCUGGAGAGCGUAGGAUACAGCUAAAUUACGUCUUCCAUUAUCAUCAGUUUACGAAUUUUAUGAUGAAAUAUACUGAACAGGCCUGUUUUCCAACAUUAUCAGUCUCUCACCCUUCUAUCUCCAUGUUUUAUCUCUCACUAUCGUUUCAUUAUUGAUGUGUUUAUACUGUUUGAGCAACCCACGUACAUUUAGCAACAGAAGUAUGUUUGAUAUAUACGUUUUUUUUGUCUAUCAUCCACUAUAUAAUUACUAAACGUACCUGUGAAAUCGGUUUCCAUGAGGAAAAGUUCCGUCCUUAAAACAUGCUUAAGAAGAUUGAAACUAUAUCAAAAUACGUUUGAAUAUUAAUUUCAAAUAAAGGGAAUGAUUGUGCAUGGUAUAACACCUGCAGAACCACAAGGGUAUAGAUGGUACCCUUAACACCUUAAGUGCAUUAACAGUGAUAUUUGUUUGUUUGAAUUAUGCAAAUCAUGCAAGAUAUGUGGACAUUGCAGCAAUAUUUCUCAUUAUCCAGUAAAUAACUGCAUGUAACUGUUCAAAACAGUAAUUACAUGAUUUAUGCUUAUAAUCUAUUCUAUAAGGUUGUAAAAUUCAGCUCAUUUCCAUUUGUACACUUCAUUGUUUAUAUAAUUAUUUCUAAUACUGAAAUGUACAGCCACAUUUUUACAUUUACAUUGUACUGAUCAAGUUUGUUAUUAUUUGAUUCAUGAAACUGGGUCAUAUUUUUCUGAAAGAAUGACCCAGAUGUAUUAAUGAAAUUCAACUUUUACCGAUCUUAAUGAUAUACUAAUUAUGCAAAUAAGUUGGUUGCUAUCGCAUCCAGAUGCUUAAAAGAAAUGCUGCAUCUUAGCCAAAAUAUCAUAAGCUUUAUAAUUGUGUGAUAGCAUCCUCUGUAAUAAUCUUUUAUAAACAUUAACCAUCCAAGAUACUUGAUUUAAGCUAAAUCGUAGGGAUACGGAAACGUAAACAAAUGAAACAUUGUAGCUGAAUUUACACUAUAAUUAUGCAAAUUACUGACCCUUAUUUAUUCUAUCUCCUGUUUUUGUUUUUCUAAUCAACCAACUGUUUAUUUGAUGUAAAUCUACGGAGUGUAAUUGUAUAUCUAUAUUAUUGGAAAACGUCACAGAAAUCAAUAUUUGAUCUUCGAAAAAGAACUAUAAAUAUACAUGUAUAAU
rnacentral:lncRNA from 1 species